rnacentral:lncRNA from 1 species
UGAUAAGUAAAAUUUGGUUAAAAUAGUUUGACAUAUGUAUGUUUGUCGAUUUUAAAUCAAGAUAGUUUGGGGUGACUUAAUUUAUGUAUUCGAAAUUUAUUUGAGUAGUUAUUAUGGGCACUAAGACGUUAAACUCAUGAAAUUAGAGGAAUAAGAGCUUGAUAGAUUUUAAAAGAGCACUAACCGAAAAUGAACUUAGCUAAUAAAAUUUGGAAAUGUGAAUUGCCGAAAUUGAUCUUAUAAUGUGUAGAAGGCCCAAAUUACCCGGCCCAAUUUCAAUUUAAACCAACCUUAGCCCAACCCAAACCAAAAAAAAAUAAAAAAUCCUAGGUGUGCCGCCCUACUGUCUGCCACCACAACCUACUCCAUAGUUGGUCACUCACCCCCAUUUUGCUCCACUUACCUGCAAUGGAAAAAGCAAAUAAAUAAAAAAGGAACAAGUUGUAAAAAGUGAGAAAAACCUACAAUCUGAAGGUAAUGUGGGGGGGGGGGGGGGUAUCAAUAAAAAAUACAAAAACAAUAUGGGGGAUUCAAGUAAAAAUUUGUAACUUUCCGAAUACAAAGAAAAUAGAGAAAACACUCAAAGAUUGGAGGUGAUUUACGAUUCAUAUUUUUCUUUUUUCUUUUUUCUUGCUUUGAAGGUACUUUAUCAUUAAAACAAAUAAAGAAGAGAUUCCAAAGACACUUACCUACGGUUUCAAUCGUCGGAGGCCAUCCUCCGGCUUGGAUAUCGGACCAAAAGGGGGUAAAAGGGGUCUCCUCUUGUUUUUACGCGACUUAGGUCAUGAACCGCGGCAGAGGUGGAGGCGUGAACGCCGAUGAUACCCGUGAGCAGCCCAAAAGUGACGGCUAAGGCUUGGUCUUUGAGUUUGGUUGAGAAAAAAAUCAAAAGGUUUGAAAUACAAAAAAAAAUGUAUCAAAAACAAAAAGAAAAAGAAAAUUUAGAAGGUUAAUUUCAAUUUUUUUUUCCUCUAUUAUCUCAAUCUUUCUAUUUAUCUUUGCCUUAUUUUAUUUUUUUCUCAUUAACUUACUUUUAAAAAAAAAGAAUUAAGGAAGAAGAAGAGACUAACCCGAUUUCACGUGGCCCUGACCACCGUCUAUGGUGGAAACCACGGUGGCUUCAAGGAGGCAUGAUGACGGCGCAUGAAUGGGUUUCUUUUGAAACCCUGGCAGAUCUAAAAAUGAAGAAAAUGGGAGGGGAAGGGCUGCUGUUCAUUUCUGGAAAAGAAAGAAAAUGAAAGAUUCAUUUUUUAAAAAAAAAAUUGGCCCUUUCAUACAUUAACUAACUAAAGCAACGCCGUUUGGGUAAAGGGAAAUGGUCCAUGUGCCUAAAAUGGAUAAUUUGUGUGGCUAAUCCCUUCCAUUCUUCUGGGUUCUCAUUCUAAUCCCAUUUUCCUUUUUAUUUUUCUUCAAAUUCUCCUCUUUAAUUUUAUUUCAUUUUUAAUUUAAUCCAAGGCCUUGUUAGUCAAAACGCAACGCAUAAGGACUAGGGAUAUUAUCCCAUUUAGUCCCUGAUAGUUUCAGCGCACCGCAAUUUGGUCCUUUGACUUUAUUUUAUUUUUAUUUUUACCCCAAAACCCCAUUUGACUUUCAAAUUAGUCCAUUUUUGUUUGUUUACUCACUCAUUCAUCUAUUU